CCAGCAGCAAAAUAUGGUCUUUCUGGAGGGAGAGAUCUGAAGAGAGUAUUGAAAUCAUUGAAGGUAUGAUCACUAAAGAAAACUUGAAAAUCAGGAAUUUGUUCAGUGAGACCAUGGGNCCAUGGGAUUGGAACUUAUGUUUCACAGCUUGAAUAACACUUUCCAUGCAAAUAAAGGUGUUGGGUCCAACAGAACAUCCCAAAUCUGCAAUCUUAAAAGACCUUGAAUUAGAAAGCAGAUCUUUUAUGUCAAGCUUGUGAGCAAUUGUCUCAUAGCAUAUUUUAUGCCUUCUCUCUGUAAGUAGGAGUUUUUUGUGUAGCUGUACGUGCCAUCUCCACCAAUCAUCGGAUGUGAUUCCGGCAUUGUGGUUGUACUUUCGC
rnacentral:misc_RNA from 1 species